rnacentral:misc_RNA from 1 species
UCCGGUUUGUCACCGGCAGUCUCAUUAGAGUGCCCUUUCGUAGCAACUAAUGACAAGGGUUGCGCUCGUUGCGGGACUUAACCCAACAUCUCACGACACGAGCUGACGACAGCCAUGCAGCACCUGUGUCUAGGUUCUCUUUCGAGCACCCCCACCUUUCAGCAGGGUUCCUAGCAUGUCAAGGGUAGGUAAGGUUUUUCGCGUUGCAUCGAAUUAAUCCACAUCAUCCACCGCUUGUGCGGGUCCCCGUCAAUUCCUUUGAGUUUUAAUCUUGCGACCGUACUCCCCAGGCGGUGUACUUCACGCGUUAGCUGCGUUACCAAGCCCGUAAAGGCCCGACAACUAGUACACAUCGUUUAGGGCGUGGACUAC